UAAAGUGGCGUACGGGUGGGUAACACGUGGAUGAUCUACCUCUUGGUGGGGAAUAACCUUGGGAAACCGGGGCUAAUACCGCAUAAGCCUGGAAAGGGAAAGCAGCAAUGCGCCGAGAGAGGAGCCCGCGGCCGAUUAGCUAGUUGGUGAGGUAAUGGCUCACCAAGGCGGUGAUCGGUAGCCGGCCUGAGAGGGCACACGGCCACACUGGCACUGAAACACGGGCCAG
rnacentral:rRNA from 1 species